UGGGGAAUUUUGCACAAUGGGCGAAAGCCUGAUGCAGCAACGCCGCGUGCGGGAUGAAGGCCCUCGGGUCGUAAACCGCUUUCAGCAGGGAUGAAAUUGACAGUACCUGCAGAAGAAGCCCCGGCUAAAUACGUGCCAGCAGCCGCGGUAAUACGUAUGGGGCAAGCGUUAUCCGGAUUCAUUGGGCGUAAAGCGCGCGUAGGCGGCUUGUUAAGUCAGAUGUGAAAACCGGGGGCUCAACCCGCGGCCUGCAUCUGAAACUGGCAGGCUUGAGUCUGGUAGAGGAAAGUGGAAUUCCUGGUGUAGCGGUGAAAUGCGCAGAUAUCAGGAGGAACACCAGUGGCAAAGGCGGCUUUCUGGGCCACGACUGACGCUGAGGCGCGAAAGCUAGGGGAGCGAACAGGAUUAGAUACCCUGGUAGUCCUAGCCGUAAACGAUGGGCACGUAGGUGGUGGGGGGUCAGUCGACUCCCUCCGUGCCGAA
rnacentral:rRNA from 1 species